UACGAAGGGGGCUAGCGUUGCUCGGAAUGACUGGGCGUAAAGGGCGCGUAGGCGGUUUAUACAGUCAGAUGUGAAAUUCCAGGGCUUAACCUUGGGGCUGCAUUUGAUACGUGUAGACUAGAGUGUGAGAGAGGGUUGUGGAAUUCCCAGUGUAGAGGUGAAAUUCGUAGAUAUUGGGAAGAACACCGGUGGCGAAGGCGGCAACCUGGCUCAUUACUGACGCUGAGGCGCGAAAGCGUGGGGAGCAAACAGG
rnacentral:rRNA from 1 species